AGAGGAGUUAUCAUUAUGCAAGUGCCACCUCGCGCGUGGCGGGCGGUUUGUCAGGUAAGAGAGCAAAUGUUUGUCGUUUCUUGCCGUUUCUCCCGACGGACGCCGUGUUUGUUUGUUGCAGGAUUUUCGCGCUCAAGGGGAAUUAUCAAAGGCAGGCGCCAUCGACCGCGCGGCAUUUUCUCAGGCAAGCGAGCAAAUGUUUGUUGUCUUUUGCCGUUUCUCACGACGGACGCCAUGUUUGUUUCAGGAUUUCCACAUUCGACACGGCCACCGCGACUGUAGGGCUUGAAGGGGAGUUUUCGAAUACGGCCAAAAACUUUAUAGUUUGUCGCCUUUUCUCACAAGCCUUUUUUAUUUUGUUUGCUUGUUGCAAGAUUGUCGUCCUCGUGACUCGGCCACGUUUGGCAUUACUUACUAUGCCUUUUUUAAUGCUGGCCAGCAUUUUUUUCAUUCGUUUUAAUGUUGAAGGUUUGUAAAUGACGCGGGCCGAUAAGCGCGUGUUUGUCUGGCUAUAGGAAACGUUAGUUUGACUAUGGUCAAAUAAACAAUUUUGAUCGUUGCUUAUAUUAGUUCUGUUGAGAUGUGUGUGCGCCAUUUGCUUGUUAAAAAAGCUUAUGAAUGUGACGAAUCAGUUACGUCACGUCAAAAUCAGAUAUUUGUGACUCAAAUCUAUUGAAAAAUGGCAAUGCCAAAAUCUAUUCCAAGAUGGCGCCCGCCCGCCCAAAUUUAUUUAAAGAUGCGUUCCGUUACGCAACAAACAUUUGUGCGCGUUAUUUUCUCCCGUUUUGAACCACUCUGCUCAAUUCGUGCGACGCCGCAAACCUGGAUCGUCUGUCGGAUGUGAGGUGAGUUGAUGGAUGAUCAAAUUAAAAUCUUGAUUACCAUUCUGAUAGUGAUUGAAAUAUUGUAACUUAUUACAAUAUAAUGCUAAUUAUAAAUCUAUAUUAAAUGUAAAACUAUACUUACUAUGUUUGAUUGUUGCACAAAUACCAUGCCAUUUCCCCUAAGUAUAUAUUGCAUAUAAAACUGUACUUGGUAAUACCAAGUACAGUUUUAUAUGCAAUAUAUACAUACCAAGUUGGUAUGUAUAAUUAUUGCAAAAAUAUCAUGCCAUUGCCACUCUAUAAUUGUUGCAAUAAUUUGUGUUGGUCUUUUGUAGCGCCAAAUAAGGCCGCCUAGCCAGCAUCCUUGGACGCAAAGCAAGCGGGAGGCUCUUGAGCCAUCUCAGUGAUGUUGAGGACACUGAGGAAGACUAGUCCUAAAUCAGGUGAAAACAAGUUUGUGCAAAGUUUCAGCCUCCCAGCACACAAUUCAGCCGAGUGGGAUGAGGAAAAGGAGCAAUGCCAUUUCCAAAGGAGCAAUGCCAUUUCCAAAGGAGCAAUGCCAUUUCCAAAGGAGCAAUGGCCGAAGAGGAGCAAUGGCCUAUCCAAAGGAGCAAUGGCCUAUCCAAAGGAGCAAUGCCAUGUCAAGUCAAGAAUGAAGCAGCAUGCUGCAAUAGUCGACAUGUGUGCGAAUCAUGUGACCAGGAGGGCGGCAGUGUUGCCUGCCUUUGGUUAUGGGUGCCUGACGGAAGGUUUGCCGGUGUGGACAGUGUUUGGGGGUCUGAUGGUUGGUCUUGCUUAAGAGGUGUGCUGUGGUUAAGGUUGUGGCUUGUCUGGACCCAGCGUUGUCUUGUGCUUGGUUGCCCCUGACGGCUCACUUGUGGUCACGUGGACCGGAUCAAACUAAACUUUGACGUGGGUCCGAAUGUCCAAUUUUGCCAUGACUUGUAACAUUUUGUCUUUUUCUAACCUGCCACUGUUGUACUUGCUGCGUUCUUUUGCAGGCUGGACGCUAAAAAGGUGCUCAUGGUCCGGCCCAACUCGACCCGGCGACAGUCACCAAGAGUAGCUAGCCGCUGUGUUCAAAUGGCGACCGGGACACGACACGAUCAGAGGUGGACCACUUCCCCAGCCUGGUAGCAACACGCCUGCCUUGACCGAACUGGUUCUGAGAGAGACCCGCUUCCCUGGGGGCGUCGACCUGCGCAGCUUCAACGUGAUUGCUGGGGCAGCGGAUCGGACGGGUGCCUGCGCAGAGAGGGGCUGGACCGGACCGCGUGACCAGGGGCUAGCGCUCAUAAAGGCCUCCCAGCCAGCACCCUUCUAUACAAAGCAAGCAGGAGGCUCCUGAGCCAUCUCAGUGAUGUUGAUGAAGAGUAGUCCCAAAUCAGGUGAAAGCCCGUUGGUGUAAAGUUUCAGCUGACUGUAAAUGUGACCACUUUUACCAAUUGCACCAUUUGUACUUUUCAAGUUUUUUUUUGUAUGAAACCAGUGAGCAGGUUGACGCCGGUGAGAAGUCACACCAUCGAACUCCCUGACGCAGAGCUGUGCUUUACCAUUAGCCCAGUGCUUCUCAAUUAUUUUCUGUUACGCCCCCCCCUAGCAAGAAGAAAACUAUUCGUGCCCCCCCUCCCCACCGUGACUAUCCUAACUUGUCUUGUAAACGUGACAGAAGUAACAAUGAGAGCGCCACUGCCCCCUGCUGUAGUAAACGCGCAAUUACACUUUAUCCUAGUACUGCCAAAAAAAAAGCCUGUUCCCCAGGGUCACACGCGCCCCCCCAGGAAUAGGGGGGCGCGCCCCACUAUUUGAGAAGUACUGCAUUAGCCAGACCAGGCAACUGCCACUUGGGGGCUCUCUUAUUUAUCCAUUUUUACAUUUGGCACUUGUCCCUUGUAUUCUUGCACUCUCUUGACAAGUAAAUUUCCCUGUUGUGGAAUAAAAUUCUAUCAAUCAA